CUCUCUUUGUAUAAUAUAAAUAAAGAGUUGGGCCUGCUCGGUGAAACGUUUUAACAGCUGCGGUAUUUUAACUGUACUAAGGUAGCAUAAUAAUUUGCCUUAUAAUUUGAGGCUAGAAUGAAUGGUUUGACGAAGGUUAAUCUGUCUCUGCUUUAUUUUUUAGAAAUUAAUUUUCAUAGUGAAAAAGCUUGAAUUUCUUAAGGGGACGAGAAGACCCUACUGAGCUUAUAAUUUUAUUAUCACAUAUAUUUAUGUAUAAUGUGCUAUAUAAAUUUUAAUUGGGGUGAUUAAGGAAUAAUAUAGCUAUUUUAUAACUUCCUUAGAUAUUAUAUUGUUGAAUUAAGUAACCGAUUAAUUAAUAGAAUUGUAUUAUGUAUUGCUUAUAAUAUAGUUACCAUAGGGAUAACAGCGUAAUUUACUUAGAGAGUUCUUAUUGAAAAGUAAGAUUGCGACCUCGAUGUUGGAUUAAAGUGACCUUAAGGUGCAGAAGCUUUAUGAGGUAAAUCUGUUCGAUUUUU
rnacentral:rRNA from 1 species